AUGCCUAUAAUUAACCUUCUCCUACUUAUUAUUCCCACCCUAAUCGCUAUAGCAUUCCUUACACUCAUUGAACGAAAAAUCUUAGGCUAUAUACAAUACGCAAAGGACCUAACACGGUAGGCCCCUAUGGAAAGCUCCAACCAUUCGCUGACGCAAUAAAACUUUUCACCAAAGAACCCCUACAAUUCUCAACAUCUACUAUUCCCGUUUAUAUUAUUGCCCCAACCCUGGCUCUUUCUAUCGCUCUCCUCUUGUGGACCCCCCUCCCUAUACCGGAUCCCCUAAUUAAUUUUAAUGUAAGCCUCCUAUUUAUAUUAGCCACAUCAAGCCUAGCCGUCUACUCCAUUCUAUCAUCAGGAUGAGCAUCCAAUUCAAACUAUGCCCUGAUCGGCAUAUUACGAGCCGUGGCCCAGACAAUCUCACAUGAAGUCACCCUAGCCAUCAUCCUGCUAUCAGUCCUACUAAUAAGUGGCUCAUUCAACUUAUAUGCACUCAUCACAAUGCAAGAAUUCCUAUGACUGCUCCUACCAUCAUGGCCCCUAGCCAUGAUAUGAUUUAUUUGCGUGCUAGCAGAAACUAACCAAGUCCCUUUUGACCUAACAGAAGGAGAGUCAGAAUUAGUCUCAGGUUUCAACAUUGAAUAUGCUGCAGGUUCAUUUGCCCUUUUCUUUAUAGCAGAAUACAUGAAUAUUAUCGUGAUAAAUGCCCUAACUACUACUAUUUUCCUAGGAUCACUGCACACUAUAUAUUCACCAGAACUCUAUACCAUAAAUUUCAUUACCAAAACCCUCAUUUUAACUGCCCUCUUUUUAUGAAUUUGAAUAGCAUACCCCUGAUUCCACUACGACCAACUCAUAUAACUUCUAUGAAAAAAUUCCAUACCACUUACACCAGCAUUCUGCAUAUGAUAUACUUCAAUACGUAUUCUAAUUUCCAGAAUUCCACCUCAAACAUAC
rnacentral:lncRNA from 1 species